CAAUUUCUUUCCAAUUCCCCCAUUCUCGGUUCUCUCUCCCCCUCUAUCUUCUUCUCCAUCUCUCUUUUCUUUCUCUCUCUCUGUUCAACCAUGAUCGACCCCAUAAACCCCCAAUUCCAGCUCCCGCCUCAUCGAUCCUCACGCCGGAGACUCCUGCUCGUCGGGAUUGCACGGUGUUGCUGUCACCGUGCGUGUUCGCCCCUCCGUCGUACUCCACGCCGCCGGAUGUCGCCGUCGCUGGGAGCCGCUGCUCCGUCGUCCUCGCUCCAAUUCAGACAGCAGCGGGCCAGCCGUGCGUCUCGGUCAACCGCUGCUGCUGCCUUCGUGGUGCGCUGCUGCCCGGUUGGCGGGGCAGCCCCAGUCCACCAUUCCUCUCGACUUCCCAUCGACAGCCGUUCGGCAGCCACCGAAACAACUCCGAACAGCCCCGAAAAUUGAAUUGUGGAAGAUGGAAGGUGAAGAAGUUGAAAAUGGAGUCUCAUGGUGGAAGAAUCAGCCAAGAAGGAAGAAAAAGAAGAAGAAAAGGUGUUGGGCUUGCUCCCACAUUUUUGGAAUUGAACUGGGCUCCCCCACUUUAAUUAAAUUUGUUUUGGGCUCAUUUAGUUACAAAGCCCAAAUUUGUAUAAUUAUUUAUUUGUUAGACUUUUUGAUUGUUAUGGCCCAAAGCCAUUUUUUCUUAUAAGAAUAUUGGACUCAAAUUUUUAUUUGAGAAGCCCAAGUAUAUUUAUACUUUA